rnacentral:rRNA from 1 species
CCAACAGGGAUUGCCUUAGUAACGGCGAGUGAAGCGGCAACAGCUCAAAUUUGAAAGCUGGCUCCUUCGGAGUCCGCGUUGUAAUUUGUAGAGGAUGAUUCGGCGAGGGCUCCCGCCUAAGUCCCCUGGAACGGGGCGUCAUAGAGGGUGAGAAUCCCGUAUGCGGUGGGUUGCCUUAGCCAUGUGAAUCUCCUUCGACGAGUCGAGUUGUUUGGGAAUGCAGCUCUAAAUGGGAGGUAAAUUUCUUCUAAAGCUAAAUACCGGCCAGAGACCGAUAGCGCACAAGUAGAGUGAUCGAAAGAUGAAAAGCACUUUGGAAAGAGAGUUAAAAAGUACGUGAAAUUGUUGAAAGGGAAGCGCUUGCAGCCAGACUUGUCCGCAGUUGCUCAACCGGUCUCCUGACCGGUGUACUCUUCUGCGGCCAGGCCAGCAUCAGUUCGGGCGGUCGGAUAAAGGCCCUGGGAAUGUAGCUCCUCUCGGGGAGUGUUAUAGCCCAGGGUGGAAUGCGGCCAGCCUGGACUGAGGAUCUCGCUUCGGCUAGGAUGCUGGCGUAAUGGCUGUAAGCGGCCCGUCUUGAAACACGGACC